AUGAAAUCCUUGAGCUUUUUGCUGGUGUUCCUGUGGCUUCAGUUUAACUGGGUGAGCAGCCAGCAGAAGGUGCAGCAGAACCCAGAAUCCCUCAGUGUCCCAGGGGGAGCCAUGGCCUCUCUCAACUGCACUUUCAGUGAUAGUGCUUCCAACAACUUCAGGUGGUACAGACAGCUUUCCGGGAAAGGCCUCGAGUUGCUGGUGUCCAUCUUCUCCAAUGGUGACAAGGAAGAAGGCAGAUUCACAGCUCACCUCAAUAAAGCCAGCCUGCAUGUUGCCCUGCACAUCAGAGACUCCCAGCCCAGUGACUCUGCUGUCUACCUCUGUGCAGCGAGCACACAGUGCUCCCCAGGCACCUGCAGCCUGCACACAAACAUGAUAUGUACAGGAAGAUCUGAGCUCGAGCAUGCUUGA